UAACGUUAGUGGACCUUACGGAGUUAAUAUUAAGUAAUUGAUAGGUGUCCUAAUUCACCUCUAAAUUAAUUAGGUAGCGAUUCCUUAAGUUAGUUAAUUUAGGAAUCAUCAAUAUGUUGUACUCUAAUUCUGACCUAGUUAAAAAGGGAUACAACACUAACUACAUCUCCAAACUUUCAAUUUUAAUUCAAUUUUCUUACACAAUUAUAUUUGUCUGUAAUAUUGAUUAUCAUUAUAAAUAAAGAAAAAUCUACAUAUACCUGAUAUUUACAUCAAAUUAAUAUAUAAAAACACUAUAGCGUUAAUCAACAUGUUUUACCAAUACCCUUUAAAAAAUCACUUUGCUUUGGCAAUUUUAUAGUCAGCCAAUGCUUUGAACUUGAACUCAUCGAUAGUUCCCAGGUAAUGAAAAAACAAAAAGGAAUCAACAAAUUAGGGGGAAACGUGUGUUUCUGAGUAACUUUGGGAAGCUUUCCCACCCGUGAAACCAACUAAUUUUGUCUUUCAAAGUAAAAUUCACUUAAUGCAACGUAUGUGUCACUAAUUGCACAAAUCAUGUGAGUUUAAAAUUAGUACUUAUAUGUUGUAGGUGAGUUAUUUGUAUUUAUUAGAGGGGAUGUUCAUGAGAGGAAAAGCACGUAGCAAAAGAACAAAAGUGCUACUAAUAUAAAAAAAAAAACUCUCUCUCUCUCUUAAUUUUCGUCAUAUGAUGAAUGAUGAAAGAUACUUUAAUGAUCAAAGACACUUUUUGGGGUCGUACGUGCUCCCAUGAUUCUAAUUUUCUGACGUCCAAAUCGUUUUCAAGUUUACUCGAUUUUGAAUCUCUAAGUAAUAAGCUCGUGUUGCAAGUUUCAAUUGAAGAAAAAAGUACAUUCUG